rnacentral:tRNA from 1 species
UGCCUUUGUAGCUCAGCAGGUAGAGCAACUGACUGUUAAUCAGUGGGUCGCUGGUCCGAGUCCAGCCAAAGGCGU